rnacentral:snRNA from 1 species
GUGCUUGUUUUGGCAGCACAUAUACUAAAAAAUUGGAGUGAUGCGGAGAAGAUUAGCAUGGCCUCUGCGCAAGGCUGACAUGCAAAUUCAUGAAGGUUCCAUAUUAAA